GAGGGGGCGUGUCCGUCUCGCAUGUUUGAAGUGACGUGGGGAACGUUAUUAGCGGGCAGAGCAUAAGGAGACCGUGAUGGCGAGGAGGCGCUGUAAGGUCAGGCAUAGGGAUAGGAUUAAAGUGAGGACGUCAGAUGGGGCUAACCAGACAAAUGAGGGCCCAUCCCAUUCAGGUAGAGGAGAAGGCUUUUGACUAUAAGGACAGUACCAGUGGAGUUUUGGGGGAAACCAAUGACCCACUGUCCAGUCCUGAUGGAAGCAAUACAAGGAUGAUCUGUUCUGUAAAAGGGGCCUCAGGAGCCCAGAGUCUUACAGCAGAUAAUACUGACAUACUGAGUCCUGCAUCAAAUCCUAACAAAAAUAGAGAAAAAUGCACUGAAAACCUAAAUAUAAAUGAGGAGGAGCAAAGCAAAAACAUCCCCUUUCUUACUAUGGAGGGUGAAGAGGAGGAACCUAGAUAUAGUGAUGAUCUCCUCCAAAAAGCAAUGGAGUUAUGUGGCCUACAAAAUGAGGGUGGCACCGCUCACUCACAAACCAUUGAUCUAACCAUUGCCCUUCCUAAAGACUUGAAUCCUCCUAAAACAUUCUACACUCUUCCUGCUGAGACACAAACCCCUCCUCAGUAUUUUCCAUCUUCUAAGAGGACACAGUCUCGGUUACACCAGGAACCAUUGGUGAAGCUCAAUACAGAAAAUGUCUCCUUCAUGCUACCUCCUUCAAAAUCAGAGAAACCCUAUGUACCAUUUGGUUAUAACAGUAGCGGUAAUAUAAAACAGCCAAUGAACUCUUACAUGAUAUGGAGAAGAAUUCACCAUUCAGCACUGGCGAGAGCCAACCCUACCGCCAGUAGUCGUGACAUCAACAUCCAGUUAGGUUGGGAAUGGCGCAGAUUAACUGAGGAACAGAAAAAAACGUAUUACAUUGAAGCCUGGAAACUGAGGACGAUACACCGUGAAAUGUUCCCAGAUUGGACAUUUACACGACGGACAGAUAAAAAUGAGAAAGCUCUACCUAUGGCCAUUUAUAACUCUUCCACCCCCACGAUGUCUCCAUACACUCAUACUACAGGUAAAACAGUAACAUUCCCAACUACUGUAUACACCCCACCGGAGCCACCCGGCACUGUGAUACCUUCAGAGACGGCAUAUGGUCCCAGUUCAGUUCAGGUUGCAGAACAGUUGUGUGGACCUCUAAAGACAACCUGUCUGCCUGAUCAUCUCCAUUACCCCAAAAAUCAGAAUACACUUGAGUACCAUGGUUACCAUCGAUUUUUUCAACAGUUUUUUCUCCGAGAACCUUUGUUUCUGCCUAGUCAACAUUUUGGCUUUCAACCCAGAAUGUGUGAGAAGGACCAUUAUAAACAGCGCGAUCCCAUGAUUUCAGGCUUCACCAGAGACUUCACCUGUUUUGAUGUGUCAGACGACUAAAGAUUUAGUCAGUAGAACAGGGACAGCGCUCAAGUGUAAAUGGAGUGACACCAGAAGUGGGUGCAACAUAAUAAAAAACAGUAUAUCUUAUUUAUCUACAUGUAUGAUGGUCCUGUUAUCUGCGAUGAAUCCACUUCAUUUACAGAAGACAUGAGCUGCCAACAUCACGUGAAACACGUAACGCAUUCAAAGGAUGGCUGUAACCUCAAUGAGAAUUUUCCAUUGACAUUUCUGUAAAUAAUAUUUGAAUGAAUAUCAUACUCUGGUGUUAAAACAUGAUAAAUAUAUGGAGCAACAUAGACAUGGCUUUGAAUGGAGUGGUGAUCAUGCACGUGCAAUGCCGUUCCCUUGGGCAUUCUUUGGGACUGACAUAGUACAGCGCUACAGACAUUAAAUGGGACAGGUUGCACAUUUGAUUUUUGCUCCAUUCAAGCUUCUCUGGAUCAGGGAGAUCUGUUCUAAACAGAGAUAGAGACAAAGCACUGGCAAAAUGUUUAUUGGACAGAAACCAGUGGUAACAUGGGUAACUGAUGUAUCCAAAACAAAAUAGAAAAAUAGAUGGCACUCACCCUCGUCUUUAUGUUUGUUAAAAAUGUAUCUUUAUUAGAUCCAUUUAGAAUGAGGCAGGUCGGGCAGAUAAUAGAAAAAUAGAUGGCACUCACCCUCUUCUUUAUGUUUGUUAAACAUUUAUCUUUAUUAGAUCCAUUUAGAAGGAGGCAGGUCGGGCAGAUAAUAGAAAAAUAGAUGGCCCUCACCCUCGUCUUUAUGUUUGUUAAACAUUUAUCUUUAUUAGAUCCAUUUAGAAGGAGGCAGGUCGGGCAGAUAAUAGAAAAAUAGAUGGCAAUCACCCUCUUCUUUAUGUUUGUUAAACAUUUAUCUUUAUUAGAUCCAUUUAGAAGGAGGCAGGUCGGGCAGAUAAUAGAAAAAUAGAUGGCAAUCACCCUCUUCUUUAUGUUUGUUAAACAUUUAUCUUUAUUAGAUCCAUUUAGAAGGAGGCAGGUCGGGUAGAAAAUAGAAAAAUAGAUGGCACUCACCCUCGUCUUUAUGUUUGUUAAAAAUUUAUCUUUACUAGAUCCAUUUAGAAGGAGGCAGGUCGGGCAGAAGAU